rnacentral:lncRNA from 1 species
UCUCAAACUAGUCCCAAGAAGAGGAGGGCAAAUUUUGAGGUGUUACAGCUGCCCCAAUUCAAUCCACUGUGAACUUGUCGAUAUGAACAGCCUCGGCUUUCAGAUGAUCAUAGUGAAGAGUGGUUGAAUACCAAGAACAGACGAACAAUUUGCGCUCCGUUGGGAAUUAUUAUCUUUUUUGCUUUUCUUGAACCCCAAAACUUCUUGAUUUUUUUUUCUUUUUUUUUUCUCUUGAACCCCAAAACUUCUUUUGAUUUUUUUUUUGCUUUUCUUGAACCCCAAAAUUUUUCGCGCGAGUGAUCCCUGAUCACCGCAUUUGAACCCUGACAACUUCGUCACUCUUGC